UCGGGAAUUUUGGGCAAUGGGCGAAAGCCUGACCCAGCAACGCCGCGUGAGGGAUGAAGUAUUUCGGUAUGUAAACCUCGAAAGAAUGGGAAGAAUAAAUGACGGUACCAUUUAUAAGCUCCGGCUAACUACGUGCCAGCAGCCGCGGUAAUACGUAGGGAGCAAGCGUUGUUCGGAUUUACUGGGCGUAAAGGGCGCGUAGGCGGCGCGGUAAGUCACUUGUGAAAUCUCUGAGCUUAACUCAGAACGGCCAUGUGAUACUGCUGUGCUAGAGUGCGGAAGAGGCAACCGGAAUUCUUGGUGUAGCGGUGAAAUGCGUAGAUAUCAAGAGGAACACCUGAGGCGAAGGCGGGUUGCUGGGCCGACACUGACGCUGAUGCGCGAAAGCCAGGGGAGCAAAC
rnacentral:rRNA from 1 species